UACGGGGGGGGGCAAGCGUUGUUCGGAAUUACUGGGCGUAACGGGCUCGUAGGCGGCCAACUAAGUCAGACGUGAAAUCCCUCGGCUUAACCGGGGAACUGCGUCUGAUACUGGAUGGCUUGAGGUUGGGAGAGGGAUGCGGAAUUCCAGGUGUAGCGGUGAAAUGCGUAGAUAUCUGGAGGAACACCGGUGGCGAAGGCGGCAUCCUGGACCAAUUCUGACGCUGAGGAGCGAAAGCCAGGGGAGCAAACGGG
rnacentral:rRNA from 1 species